UAGGCCUGUUAAAUUGGCGUUCCAAUGCCCAGAGCAUCGAGCACAACCUCAAGAAGCUCAUGGAGGUGGAUGGAGGGGAGAUUGUUAAGUUCUUGCAAGAUACGCUGGAUGCACUUUUUAACAUCAUGAUGGAAAUGUCGGACAACGAAACGUACGACUCCCUUGUGUUUGACGCACUGGUGUUUAUUAUUUCACUGAUAGGAGACAUCAAGUUCCAGCAUUUUAAUCCUGUCCUCGAAACCUAC